UACAGAGGGUGCGAGCGUUAAUCGGAAUUACUGGGCGUAAAGGGUGCGUAGGCGGUUACUUAAGUCGGAUGUGAAAUCCCUGGGCUCAACCUAGGAACUGCAUUCGAUACUGGGUAACUAGAGUGCAGGAGAGGGAAGUGGAAUUUCCGGUGUAGCGGUGAAAUGCGUAGAUAUCGGAAGGAACACCAGUGGCGAAGGCGACUUCCUGGACUGACACUGACGCUGAGGUACGAAAGCGUGGGGAGCAAACAGG
rnacentral:rRNA from 1 species